CACGUAGGGUGCGAGCGUUGUCCGGAAUUAUUGGGCGUAAAGAGCUCGUAGGCGGUGUGUCGCGUCGGCCGUGAAAACCUGCAGCUUAACUGUGGGCUUGCGGUCGAUACGGGCAUCACUGGAGUUCGGCAGGGGAGACUGGAAUUCCUGGUGUAGCGGUGAAAUGCGCAGAUAUCAGGAGGGAACACCGGUGGGCCGAAGGCGGGUCUCUGGGCCGAUACUGACGCUGGAGGAGCGAAAAGCGUGGGGAGCGAACAGG
rnacentral:rRNA from 1 species